CGAAACAGCAAGAAUUGUCGUCCCGACGAGCGGCCAUCACUCGUCUCCUCAGGCAGGCAGGCGGUCAAGGACAGUCUGGGCUGUCUCGUGCUUCAUCCUGCAGGUCCCCCCUGACUGAGCUGGGAGAAUAGAGCCUUCUCAGGUCAGGAUUGUCUGUGGAGCUCCCUCCCUGGGGAUGCCAGCCCUCGCUCUGCUCCACUGGUCUUCAGGUCUCAUCAUGCAGCACUUCAAAGUGCGUGGAUGAACUGCAGCAUCAAAACUUUUCCCUUCCCAUUGAAAUAACAAGAAAAGUCACCUCAGGCGCUCAGACAAACUUCGGUUUCAUCAGCUGUCUUCUUUUCAUCUGCAGAGAGGAGAGUAGAGCCAUGGUUCUGGGACAGCCUGGAAGAACCUCUUCACACCUGAGGCCAGGAGAUUCCCUCAGACAGACCCGAGAAGGCUCUGGCACACAACUGUCACUGGGACCAGUACACUCACUGGGUUGUACUGGCAACGAGGGGCAGGCACCGUAGCUCGUCCUGUGAUUUCUGCAGAGAUACAGGAGGCUUCCAGAAUCAAAUAGUCACUUGUGGCUUCUCUAGCAUUCACCCCGACUUGCCGACUGCUCACCAAAGCCCCCAGUGCUCCUCACUGUCUCUCUGCAAUUUCCUGGCUAAAGGAGAUCUGGAAUGUAAAAGUGUAUUCAUCACCAGAGGUUUUGCCAGAUUCCAGGACUUCAGUGAAGCGGUAAGAGAUGGUUUAAAAUUGGAAUGGCGCGGUGAUUCCUCCGAGUUUUCAGUCAACUGUGG
rnacentral:lncRNA from 1 species